rnacentral:rRNA from 1 species
AGCGAACGCUGGCGGCAGGCUUAACACAUGCAAGUCGAACGCACCUUUCGGGGUGAGUGGCAGACGGGUGAGUAACACGUGGGAACGUACCUUCCGGUUCGGAAUAACCCAGGGAAACUUGGGCUAAUACCGGAUACGCCCUUUACGGGGAAAGAUUCAUUGCCGGAAGAUCGGCCCGCGUCUGAUUAGCUAGUUGGUGGGGUAAUGGCCCACCAAGGCGACGAUCAGUAGCUGGUCUGAGAGGAUGAUCAGCCACACUGGGACUGAGACACGGCCCAGACUCCUACGGGAGGCAGCAGUGGGGAAUAUUGGACAAUGGGCGCAAGCCUGAUCCAGCCAUGCCGCGUGAGUGAUGAAGGCCCUAGGGUUGUAAAGCUCUUUCGCACGCGACGAUAAUGACGGUAGCGUGAGAAGAAGCCCCGGCUAACUUCGUGCCAGCAGCCGCCGUAACAC